AACGAACGCUGGCGGCGCGCCUAAUACAUGCAAGUCGAGCGAGAAGACGUAGCAAUACGUUUGUAAAGCGGCGAACGGGUGAGGAAUACAUGGGUAACCUACCCUCGAGUGGGGAAUAACUAGCCGAAAGGUUAGCUAAUACCGCGUACGCUCCUUGGACUUCGGUUCAGGGAGGAAAGCGAUACCGUGGGUAUCGCGCUCUUGGAUGGGCUCAUGUCCUAUCAGCUUGUUGGUGAGGUAACGGCUCACCAAGGCUUCGACGGGUAGCUGGUCUGAGAGGACGAUCAGCCACACUGGCACUGCGACACGGGCCAGACUCCUACGGGAGGCAGCAGUAAGGAAUAUUGCGCAAUGGGCGAAAGCCUGACGCAGCGACGCCGCGUGGGGGAUGAAGGUCUUCGGAUUGUAAACCCCUUUCGGGGGGGAAGAUGGAAUGGGGUAACCCAUUCGGACGGUACCUCCAGAAGCAGCCACGGCUAACUUCGUGCCAGCAGCCGCCGCAGUAA
rnacentral:rRNA from 1 species